GAUGAACGCUGACAGAAUGCUUAACACAUGCAAGUCGAUUCAAGUUACCUUCGGGUAAUGAGGAUGGCGGACGGGUGAGUAACGCGUAAGGAACUUGCCUCUUGGUCUGGGACAACUGUUGGAAACGACAGCUAAUACCGGAUAUUAUGAGAUUCUCGCAUGGGAAACUUAUGAAAGCUAUAUGCGCCAAGAGAGAGCCUUGCGUUCCAUUAGCUAGUUGGUGGGGUAACGGCCCACCAAGGCGACGAUGGAUAGCCGGCCUGAGAGGGUGAACGGCCACAAGGGGACUGAGACACGGCCCUUACUCCUACGGGAGGCGGCAGUGGGGAAUAUUGGACAAUGGACCAAAAGUCUGAUCCAGCAAUUCUGUGUGCACGAUGAAGGUCUUCGGAUUGUAAAGUGCUUUCAGUUGGGAAGAAGCAAGUGACGGUACCAACAGAAGAAGCGACGGCUAAAUACGUGCCAGCAGCCGCGGUAAUACGUAUGUCGCAAGCGUUAUCCGGAUUUAUUGGGCGUAAAGCGCGUCUAGGCGGAAAAAUAAGUCUGAUGUUAAAAUGCGGGGCUCAACUCCGUAUUGCGUUGGAAACUGUUUUUCUAGAGUACUGGAGAGGUGGGCGGAACUACAAGUGUAGAGGUGAAAUUCGUAGAUAUUUGUAGGAAUGCCGAUGGAGAAGUCAGCUCACUGGACAGAUACUGACGCUAAAGCGCGAAAGCGUGGGGAGCAAACAGGAUUAGAUACCCUGGNAGUCCACGCC
rnacentral:rRNA from 1 species